UCGCGCCUUCGCCAGCCCGCUACAGAAACUUAAAUGAAUUGACGGGGGCCCGCACAAGCGGUGGAGCAUGUGGUUUAAUUCGACGCAACGCGAAGAACCUUACCGGGCUUGACAUCUUUCUGACCGCCUGGGAAACCAGGUUUUCUUCCUUCGGGAAGACAGAAAGACAGGUGGUGCAUGGUUGUCGUCAGCUCGUGUCGUGAGAUGUUGGGUUAAGUCCCGCAACGAGCGCAACCCUUGUCCUUAGUUGCCAGCAUUCAGUUGGGCACUCUAAGGAGACUGCCGGUGUUAAACCGGAGGAAGGUGGGGAUGACGUCAAGUCCUCAUGGCCCUUAUGUCCAGGGCUACACACGUGCUACAAUGGCCGGUACAAAGGGCUGCAAGACCGUGAGGUUGAGCGAAUCCCAGAAAGCCGGUCUCAGUUCGGAUUGGAGUCUGCAACUCGACUCCAUGAAGUUGGAAUCGCUAGUAAUCGCGGAUCAGCAUGCCGCGGUGAAUACGUUCCCGGGCCUU
rnacentral:rRNA from 1 species